CACGUAGGGCGCAAGCGUUUGUCCGGAAUUAUUGGGCGUAAAGAGCUCGUAGGCGGUCUGUUGCGUCCGCUGUGAAAACUCGGGGCUUAACCCCGAGCCUGCAGUGGAUACGGGCAGACUAGAGGUAGGUAGGGGAGAAUGGAAUUCCUGGUGUAGCGGUGAAAUGCGCAGAUAUCAGGAGGAACACCAAUUGCGAAGGCAGCUCGCUGGGACGUUACUGACGCUGAGACGCGAAAGCGUGGGGAGCAAACAGG
rnacentral:rRNA from 1 species